rnacentral:lncRNA from 1 species
UUAGUACCAUGAUUCCAUGUUUGUAUUAUUCAACUGGGCUAUGGAAUUGAAACCUAACAAACUGAACCAAGAAAUGGGGCAGCAAAACCGUGGUCCUAAUGAAAGAUUACAGAAAAUAGAAGGAACACCAGUAGAAGCCAUCCAUGCGGUUGUUGAACGUUAAUAACAGUCAGGACAUAAUACAUUGAUGCUGCAUUCAAAGCUCUGCCGGUACCACGUGAAACAGAGUAAUGCACCUUAUACCAUCGGUCCUUCUCAAAUAAAGGAUUGAAUCCACCAAGGCUAUUGAUGAAUCAGGUCAAACAUUUAAUGCAGACAACAAAUUUAGGUUUCUAUGGUCAUAAAAGAGAGUAUGGACAGUGCAAUUUGAUCAAAUUAUGCUGCUGAUCAAUAGCGAGGUUUUGGUCAAGCUUGUUC